UCCUGGCUGCAUGGCGCGACGUUGAACACGGACCAGCAGGAAAGAGCUCAAAGUUGUAACCUGCUUGGCCUAGCGCCACAGGAUUGUAAACUGUAGAAGUGUUUUCAAGGCGAUCCGAGUUAAUAAGUCCUUUGCAACAGGGCAUCAUAGAGGGGGAGAAUCCCGUCUUUGAUUCGAGAUAUUUUGUCUUUUGCGAUACACUUUCAAAGAGUCAGGUUGUUUGGAAAUGCUGCCUAAAUUGGGUGAAAAAUCUCACCUAAAGCUAAAUAUUGGCGAGAAACCGAUAGCCAACAAGGCCCGUGAGGGAAAGAAGAAAAGAACUUUGAAAAGAGAGUUAAACGGUAUGUGAAAUUGUUAAAAGGGAACCGUUUGUUGCCAGACUGGCUUGGCUGUAAUCAAUCUAGGCUUCGUGCCUGGAUGCACUUGCAGACUAUUUGCCUGCCAACGACAAUUUUUUUUGAGUGUAAAAACUAUUGGAAAUGUGGCCCAUAUUUAUUUAUUGCUGUUAUAGUCCUUUAGAAAAUACCUUGCAUUGAAUUGAGGAACGCAGCGAAUUCUUCUCUUUUGAGGCAAAGUCUUUUAUUGACAUUUACGGAUCAGACUGUGCCAGUGUCACCAGACUUGAAGUUUAAACCUAUUUUUGAACUUUUAUUCGCUUAGGGUGUUGGCUUAAUGACUCUUAUCACCCGUCUUGAAACCAAGGAAACCA
rnacentral:rRNA from 1 species